rnacentral:rRNA from 1 species
UACGUAGGGGGCUAGCGUUGUCCGGAUUUAUUGGGCGUAAAGAGCGCGUAGGCGGCCGAGUAAGUCCGACGUGAAAUCUGGAGGCUCAACCUCCAGCGGUCGUUGGAAACUACUCGGCUAGAGUCCGGAAGAGGAGAGUGGAAUUCCCGGUGUAGCGGUGAAAUGCGUAGAUAUCGGGGAGGAACACCUGUGGCGAAAGCGGCUCACUGGACCAUAACUGACGCUGAUGCACGAAAGCUGGGGGAGCAAACAGG